ACAUGCAGUCGAACGGGAUUCAUGCUCAACACCGAGCAAGCGGGAUAGCAGGCAGAGCGUCAAGCGCGAAGCGCUUUACGCGAAAAAAGCUUGCUAACACAGUGUAAAGGAUGUUGGAAGAUAAGACAGAGCAGGCAGAGCGUCAAGCGCGAAGCGCUUUACGCGAAAAAAGCUUGCUAACACACCUACCCCCGAUUGUUGGGUGUUGAGCAUGAUGAGAGUGGCGGACGGGCGAGUAACGCGUGAGCAACCUACCCCAUGCAGGGGGAUAACACUCGGAAACGGGUGCUAAUACCGCAUAAGGUCACAUAGUCGCAUGGCUAAGUGAACAAAGCUGAGGCGGCAUGGGAUGGGCUCGCGUCCAAUUAGCUAGUUGGUAGGGCAAAGGCCUACCAAGGCGACGAUUGGUAGCCGAACUGAGAGGUUGGUCGGCCGCAUUGGGACUGAGACACGGCCCAGACUCCUACGGGAGGCAGCAGUGGGGAAUAUUGCGCAAUGGGGGGAACCCUGACGCAGCAACGCCGCGUGAAGGACGAAGGUUUUCGGAUUGUAAACUUCUUUGAUCGGGGACGAAAUUGACGGUACCCGAGGAACAAGCCACGGCUAACUACGUGCCAGCAGCCGCGGUAAUACGUAGGUGGCAAGCGUUGUCCGGAAUUACUGGGUGUAAAGGGCGUGUAGGCGGGAAGGCAAGUCAGAUGUGAAAGCCCAUGGCUUAACUGUGGAAUUGCAUCUGAAACUGUUUUUCUUGAGUGCUGGAG
rnacentral:rRNA from 1 species